GCACUAAUGAAGAGUCCCACAAUAAGAGGAAACGGCUGUCCAGUGC
rnacentral:hammerhead_ribozyme from 1 species